ensembl:snoRNA U8 U8 small nucleolar RNA
UCGUCAGGUGGGAUCAUCCUUACCUGUUUCUCCUUUUGGAGGGCAGAUCCGAACAUGACGAUUGCAGAAGAAUGAAACGUGAUUAAUAACUCUGUGUAAUCAGGCCUUGCAGCACUCUGAUUGAGCCUUUCUGAU